AGUGUUUGAAAUCAUCGCGGUAGAAUGUUUAUCGUGCCGAUUAAUAUUGCAUCGCGUGUAACAUCAUCAAAUAUAAAAUGGAAUUAUUAUUCUGUUUAUCUAGUUCAAGUUCUCACGCUUGAAAACACGUCCACCAGUACAAUAUAAUUCCUAAACAAACAGUUUCCCAAACAAUACGUUUUCAAUCUUUAUUAUCGUAAACUCGCGUACUAUUCCUAUCUGCGGCAGUUAAGUCUCUGACCAAUUUUUUUCAAAAAAAAAAAAAAAAAAAAAAAAAGUUUUUCGUAUACACAUAUGCGUGUAUAUAGCAAUAUCCUGCGUUCUCCGGAAUUUUCAUUUCCCAAUUUAUGAGGAAAAUCGUGAGAUCGAGCUAAAAAGUCACAUUCCAUGAUGGAUAUCGAUACAUUCAAUCAUUAUAUUAUUGUUAUUCUACUUUUUUCAAAAUUAUUGUAUAAGAUUAGUGUUCGAUGUCGCGAUACGUCGUCAGAAUUUUGUUAAAAUUUUUAUUCAAGAAGCAAUACGCGAAUAUAAGUAUACGAAAAAAAUCUAAAACGAAGGGAUCCUAAUUUGCGAUUAGAUUUGCAAUUAGAUCUAAACGAAUUUUCGUUUUUCUUUUUUUUUAUCGUGUCCCUUUGAAAACGCGGAACGACGAAAGUGUUUCUUUUCUUCCGUUUCGUUCGAUCUCUCAUUGAAAUUCCGGUGCGGAAGGAUCGUACGCGAAUCGAAAAAUCAUUUGGAACGUUCGACGACGUAGGAUAUCGUUUUCUAGGACGUUUUACAAUAGCUAUGUAUAGAACUCUACUGUAUUUCUAUAUUUCCGAACACGGACGGAAUUCUCUUAAAAACUGUUUCGUGCAUGGUGAAAAUAUUUCGCGCAAUGGAUGUAGAAAUGGGUGCGAAUCAUGUGUUGCAAAGGGCGGGAUUCGAUGACUCGAGAUGAUAUGGAAGCGAGGAGAAUAAAAAAGAAAGAGUGUAUUUCCGAGAUAAAAUUGAAUUCCAUGGAUAAAUUUGAUAUUCAUGAUCUCUUAAGCUUCGACCUUUAUUUUACUAUUGUUAUAAAUCAGUUAAAAUUCGAAACAACGAGUUGAUUUUUGAAAGAAGAAAUAUUAUAGGUAAAUUUACAAUAUCUAUAGUUCUAUUAUAGUUUACAUUUUUCUAUCUGUAUUAUUAUAGAUCAAUUAGAUAUUUUAAAAAUAAGUAGAAUUGGAUUUUAAGGAAAGCUUAUAUAGUAAAAAUUGAUUUAGAACAUCAAUGCAUGAAUUCAAAAAAAUUUCUAAUAUAUGUUAAAAAUAAAUAAUUUAUUAAUAAGAAAUCAAAGAUACCUCAAAUAAAUGAUACGUUCGGAUCUCAUUUCUGGGAUAGACUCGUUUAAGUCAGAAAUAGAGGGUUCGAGGUACGAUUUAUAUUUUCUAAUCUGCCACGCCGGAACCUUACAACUAUCUCGUUCAUGUGAAUUACAACGCACGAUAGUAUUUCACGCGGUGGCUCGCGUGACCGGAAUUGGGGAUUACGCGGGAUUAAAUGGUGUUCCAGGCACUCGAUGAUUGUUUGCAUUGCGUCCCUCGCGAGAUCCCAGCUUCCGGAAUUGUUUAUUUCUUCCUGUAAUCGAUUUCAUCCAUUCAGGUACCCAUCCCCCAUCGAUUUUGGAUUUUUCAAAUCCUGUAUGUAGGGUAUGUAAAUCCGGUAUGUUUCGAUAGGCUUAGUUGGAUUUAUCGUAUACUGAUAAUUUGUUAUCCCAGUAUUUCAAAGAGAAUAAUAAGGAAAGAGAUUCGAACGAAUGUGAUUAUGAAAAUUUUGAAAAUUAAUGCAUUGGCGAGAAAUCGAAAGUAACGAAUUGAAAUAAUUUUUUUAUUUCAAAAUUAAAUUAUUUCGGUUGCUUACAAAUGAUUCUUUAAUCGCAUCUGUGAUAUAUAUUGCUUUACAAAAUUUCAAUUUUAAAGAAUGUUUAUGUUUCAGAGAAAAUUUAAUAUCGUCUUAAAGUUUCAAUACCUUUUAACAAUUUGAAUGCAAUUUCCUUUAAGAUCAAAUGUAUCCUGUAAUAUAAUUUCAUAUAAUUUUUAAUCAUAUUUCCAAAGUAUAGAUAUAUUUUCAAAGGAUAUAUUUUCCUUUUAAUGAUGAGUGCAAUAAACUAUAACAACGUAAGGCGAAUUACUGUUAGACGCGUUGGAAAUUUAAUGUAAUAGUACUUUGAGAUUGGAGGAAAUUGCUUUUAUAAAUGAUAUUUACAUGAGAAAGGAUACGACUUUCUUAAAGAACGGGUAUAGAAUUGUAAUAUAUGACUGAAAUUCGAAGAAAUUAAUUGUUAUAUUAUGCAGAUAGGAAAUAGAGAUUAAAGAUUAUUAAAUUAUAGUGUGACAUGUAAAUGACUUUGAUCAAGCGGAUUUUUCUGGUUUAACGUGAGAUUAAUCGUUGCACGUGUCGUAAGUUGUAUAAUUUUUAAACAAUUUUUCGAGGAAAUUUAUGCACGAUAAUAAAUAUAUUAGAUUUUAUUCGAUGCAAAAUAUUCCUUCAAUUUCCAUUUUAAAAAAAAAAUUUAUAGUACUUUGUACGAUGGUUGCAUGCUACCGAAUGUUUAAUCGUUAUUAACUAUCGAUAAAAAAUUUCUUAUCCUUGCAGGGUAAUAAUUACCCAAGCUUAAUUCAAAUCUAAUGUUAACCAACAAAGUAGCAAUCGUGCGUAGUGCAACUAUUACUAUUACCUCGCAAACUCGAAGUUAUGAUAUAAACCAAUAAUUACUAUAAAAUCCAAUCUAGCAUGCAUGCAAUGCAUCGUUCAUUAUUCUAAUAUAUAUUCUAACGGUGAGCAAUAUCUAACGUAGGUGCAAAAUUUCACCGUGCUAAGUUUCAAAGCGUUGGAUGAUUUAUGGUUACGAGAAUUUUACUAAAAUGCACUUGUAGAACGUUACUUGUCUCGUUAAUAAUUUUUUUGACACGGCAUAAACGACCCUUAUCUUAACUUCACAAUAUAACGAGAUCCAUCUUCGAAGAGUAUCUGAUCCUAUAAUUUAAAAAUGCUAUGAAAAGGAAUUAGAAUUAUCAAAGUUAAUUUUAACCAUAAACCAUUUUCAUUAGCACCGUAAGUAAAGUUCUUGGAAAAAUUUCCAAGCGAAGGUUUCAUCCAUUGAAUUCCAAAAUUCAAAAGAAAAGAAAUUCUCAUAUAUAUCACAUCGAUAAAACGAACACGUAUUUCUUUUCAGAACCGUGCCAUAACCUACGAUUCAAAAUUCCCGCCAUACAUUCGACUUAAUCGCGUCCAACAAACGAAUUAAUCCCUUCCGCUACUCUUUACGACUCGAUGCUUCUAAAUUACAAGAAUCUCAGGAUUAAACGGUGCAACUUACACGGCACGGUUAAUUAAACGACGCGUUUUAUCGUCCGAAUAGAAUCGUCUCCCUGCCGCGUCUCGGACCAAUCCUCCCAUUCUUAUGCAAAACUCGCGCGAUCGAGCCGAUCGAUCGAUACGAUCGUUAACGAAAUAUCGGUACGAAACCUCAAAAAAAAAAAGGCUUGGUCUGUAAUUCAUAAAGGAGCCGAAACUUGGCCCGGUUAAUUCAGAAAUUACCCUGCCUCGUGUAAUUACAAACUGAGUGUCCAGUGUAUCCGGCUUUAUUAUCCUAAUUUACGCGCGACUGGCGGAUCCUUAUUGCGCAAUUAGGCAACGUGAUACCAGGAUGAAUUUACGAGGGAAGUGGAGGGAAAGAGAUGAUUGAAUGGCGGUAAUUGAUAUAGAGUGAUGAAGGGUGGAGAAUUUCGUUGGAAUUUUUAUUAUUUUUCCUUCUCUGUGAUUUCUUCCCUCGUGAUCUUAUUUUUAUUACUUUUCUGUACUUUUGCGAGGAAUAAGAUCCUUUUCAGUAAUGAAUAUACGUUUGACGUUUCACUUUUUUUAAGAAUUAAAUAUUGUAAAUUUCUAGGUUUAAAAAUUACCACGUAAUCUUCGUGGUAAGUAUACGAGGUAUGCAAAAUAUUUUACAUUGAAACUUUUACUUAUCGUAGUUUAUUUGCAUGCAGUCAUUAGUUCGUGUUUAGAAUUUUUUAUAGCCUUUAUACAUAAUUUUCAACGAUUUCAGGUUCUUGGAAAUGAUCAAAACAUCGUUUACCAGAACGAUUUAAUGACUUGCCGGAGGGUUAAUGAUAUAACCAUAAUAAGGAACGAUAAUAAGCGUCGAAUCCAAGCAGGAAGUUGCUCGGUGUAUUAACUACUAAGGAUAAGCUUUAACUCCUCGUGUAUUCUCGCCCACUUCUCUCGGAGUUAUUCGAUAAUUUUUAAAACAUUAUCCCACGAUUUCUCGAGUAAACCGAUAAAAUUCGCCUUCGAAAUAUCCACGUAUUGAAUCAAUCUCUCCUCCAUCGCGACAGGCCUCGAACCGGCUUUCCCUCGAAUCCAACUGGCCGGUGCAAAGGGAACAAGAGAAAAUUUGCAAGUAUCGGUGCUCACCAUCGAAUAUCCAGCGGCCUAUCUCAAGGAGAAUCGCUCAUAAAUAUUUAUCCGGGCGGUAUUAUCGCGAAUACAGGCCUGGCCUCUCCUCCAGGCCUGUCCAAGCGUUCAAAUCUCCGGAAGUCGGGCAUCGAUCCGGCCUUGAUGCACUCGCGGAUCGGUUGAUCCGGUCGGCUUAGCAGUGUGCUUGUUCAGUUUUCACGAGACUCAAAGCGAGAGGAAUCGGGACUUCGCGUUAAUCCUCUCCCUCUCCCAGUCAACUCUGUAUAAUCUUAACUAACGAGAAAGCGCCGGGGUUGGAGUAACACGCCGGCGAACCUGUGAAGCCCUGCUCUGUCAAGGGAUCGCCACGUUUCCACGACUCCUUUUUACGAAGCCACGCGGAAGGAUUAACGUCAGGGUGAUUUUCAACGUGGUUGUUGCUCUAAUGCCGGGACGAGACAGACGUGCGUUCGUCCUGCUUUUUUCUUGGUACAUUUUUAUGAUUGAGGAAUCGAGGAAGAUUGAUUUUUAAUUAUUAAUUAAUGAUUAUAUAAUUAUAAAGAUAUUAUUAAGUUUCUGUGUGAAUAGCGAUUAAUAAUAAUUUGGUAAAGUAGUAAUAUAUUUCAAGUAAUCUAGUAAUGAUUUAGUAAUUCCUGUCGUUUCAUUUUCAGAUUCAUUUUAUUUGGAAGGGGAAUAGAAAAUUUGGAAAGAAUAAUUAACUUAGAAUAAACAACUAUCAUUUAUCUGAAUUGAAAUCAUAUUUCUUUUCAUAAAUCCACGUAAUAUCUUCCAGAAAAUGAAAAAUUGUUUCCUCCCUAUGGAUAAAGAGCAAUCCGAUUAUUGUAAACCAACUUUCCAAUGCUCAAUUAAUUUAUACGAUACUUAAUCAGAAAACCAUUGCUUAAUUUCGAAUUAAUUUUAAACAAUUUUUGAGCGAAAGAAUAAAAUAUCCUAUGAUCGAGACAACAAAGAAAAUGAUCAUGAAAUUAUGGAAAUUAGGAAGGAAGCGAAGAAUAAACAAACCAAAGGAACUAUAUUUAAUUAAAUAUUCAGGAAAGGAAGGAAACUCAAGAAAAAUGAAAAUGGCAGAUCUGUCUGAGAAAACUUCUGUUAGUCUUUUGAAAUCAUUCUUCAAGUUUCAUAACGAAAAAAUCUUCCUGAUAAAAAUUUAUUCGAUGACCCCUCUCUCACAAUAGGGGGUGGUUCACUUAGUGCGUGAGACGUGAAGAAUUUAUCCAGGGUGAUUCUGUUCGCGCCAAUGCAUCAUCAAUCACUGCUCGAUUCCGGCUUCUGUCUUCGAUUGGACGCCAUUUGUGUAUCCAGUGAAUCGGUUUUUGCGACCCGGAAAUCAAUAACACCCGCGAACAAUACUUCAGAACGCUUACGGUUUUGCGAAUCAUGCUGAAAUAUCAUUCUGAUGGAUUUCACGAUUCUUUUCCUUCAUCAGCGACGUGUAUUUGUAUUGUUGCCGAGGAAUAACUUUUUGUUGUUGUACAAAUGAUAACGAAACUUGACCCAAAAAUCCACCCACCAGACCUAUAUUUGAACUUCUCUAUAAUCGCUUUUAUGGAAUCUCGGCACAGACGUCGAGUGUUCCUCCGACUGCGAAACCUUGGAGGGUCGACGGAUCGGUCGUGGUGGAAAAAAAAAAAAAAAUGCCAGCCCCAUCGACGUUCGCAGCGUUCCAUCGCGGAAAGUAGAAUUAAUACGUGGCUCUCGUCCGUGAAAAAGUCAGCUUCAUACUCCUGAGAGGCUUUUUGCCGGGCGUGGAACAAAGAGGGAUCCGGGGAAAAGUUGGCAAAAAGAGUCGCGCCAGGGUUUCGCCGAACAGGGGGAAGAGAGAUAAAGAGGUGGUAAAAAGGGAUGGAGAAGCAUCUUCUGGGGCGCAUCAAUCGCGAGGAACGCGAGAAUUAUCCCGAGUGAAACCGCGAAAACUAAAUCCUGGCCCGGGAUGAGGCGAAAUUAAUGCUCGCGGCUUGUCACGACAAGGAAGAAAGAGAGAAAGAGAAAGGAAAAAAAAAGAGUCCUAUAAUCUUGAAAGGUUUCUUACGAGGUCUCAUGAGGAUGGAAAUGGACAGCCGAGUCGGAUGAAAGGAGUCAAUGGAUCCUCCCUUGUGUGUCACAUUUGCGAAAAACAUCAAUUCUUUGGGAAUUCUAGGCUGUCAUUUAAUGAGAUUUCGCUGUCAGAUGGCAUCUCAAAUAUUUGUACACAAUAUAAUUUGAGAAGAAACACGAGAAGAUCCUGCUUAAAAAUUUCUUAUCUUUUUUUGGUGAUGUAUGUAUUAAUAUUUAACGUGUUUCUGUAUAGAGAAAUAAAUGAAAGAUGGAGACAAUGAUGAAU